GGAACCUCAGAGUCUCAAAGUGACCAGGUCAUGAUCAGCAGGGCUCGUGCUGGACAAGAGUUGAGAGUUUCAGCUGUAUCAGACCUGGCUCCAUGCUAAGUCAGUCCAAUACUUUUGCUCCCCUUGUGCCCUAGGGAAUCUCUGUUAUUCUGGUUUUCCCAUCAGCCGUGGCACAUCAGUGCUUUGUUAGGGAGAGCUGUGGGUGGUACUGCACACACAGAAAUGAUGUCUGCUCUUGCAAGGCAGCCACACAGGAUCACUCCAGCACAGAGCCUGAACGUGAGCGUUCUGUCCCUGAAGUAUUUUCAUUCCUUUUUGAGUUUAGUUUUAGCUUUUGAUCUCCAGGUUCUGUAACUUUUAAUCAGAGGAAAUUACUCUGUGUCUUGCCAUUUACUAAUAAUUUUGUACAAUCUCUUACAAUUACUACUGGUUUUGUUUGAAAAUAUGGUGCAUUUACUAAUUUAUUUAUAAAUUAUCACCUAAUGCAUCAUAUAAAAUACAAACCAAAUUUCUGUAUUUCAGGAGUUUUGGGGUUUUUUUUUUUUUUUGUAUUAUCAUAUAAACACAUCUGCUUACAUUCUUAUUACAUUUUUAGACCCACAAGAAAAUCAAACUCAAAACAAUACCGUAAAUGAACACCAGUACAUAGGAUAGGUACUAUUUUAAAACAGAGGUUUGGAUUUCAUAAUUUAAGUGCCUUUUUUUUUGCCAGACCAAAAUACUUUACAUGCUACUAACUUGAGCUAUAACUUUUAUUGUGGUUGAAAUCCUGAACCCUCCUUACAGCAAAACUGUCACGGUCCAUGCUAUAAACCCCAGAGCUAGCAAGAGAUUAGGGGCCAAGGGGAUUGCUCCAGACCCCAUUUUCAUGCUCCAGAGAGGAGUUAUUGUACUAUUUCUGCUACUGCUGUCUCCUCGCUUCACACAUGGUCGAGAACCCUCCCUGCUCCCACUCUCUCACGCCUCCAGCCAGUCAACAACUUGUAAUAAAAAGCUGAUGCCAAAAAUUAGAAUCAUAACCAUAUAUUGAAACACUCUUCUGAAGUGCUUACAUCCCCAAACCCAUAUGGACCCAGCAAAGGAUGUCAGAGAGAGAGAGAGGGGAGAAGAGAGAGACGAGAGCAUCUAGCUGAGAAGCACGUGGAUUCAUGCUAGCAGCAGCCCAGCAAGCUGCUGGAACUGAUUUACCACUAAAGCUGUUAAGCAAUGACUGACUUCUUCCAAUUAUUGGUUUUGCAAACAAUAAUCAGGUUAAAAUUAGUCAUCUGGAUAUAAAACUUUGCUUGAAGGAUAGGGAGUGCUGUCCUGUGGGAGAAAGGGAAGAGGGAACACUCAGAAAGGGGAGACAUGAGAAAGCAUCCUAGAGGUGGGAAAUGUGUUUUGCAUCAGGGCAGAGCUGCAGGACAUCGUACAGCACACUUUCAGCUCACUCUCUCACCUCAGGGACUGCCAAAUGCCACUGUGGUGACAGCAGGGAUGAGCUGGAUGCCAGAGUAUGAGGUCUGGGGACAUGUGCACAUAAAAGAGGGAGAGAAAGAGACACACAGAGAUGGAAAUUUAAAGGCAGACAUUAUAGUCUCAAACAUAUACUCCUGUUUUGCAUGACUUUUCCUACUCCAGUCUCAGUUUGCAAUUACAGACCAAAAUUAACAAUCUACUUUACCAUCUGCACAUAUAUUUCUUUAGAUUUAACCACUGCACUGCAAGCAGGCCAGUCUGUUUUAAGAAAUAUAGCCUCAUUGAGAGCUGAUGGAUCAAGAAACAGAGGUACAAAGGUAUGGGAUAACAUUUUCAAAAGCAAGGGGGGCAGGUCCUGACUCUGGGGUGACCAUCUAGUUUACCACAAACCAGAUACUUUUUUUUUUCAAAACUUUGGUUUCUGUGACUGUAGCCAAAUAACAAGAGAGAAAACUGGAGCCUGAGCACAAAUUUCUGGCUCCUAUCCUUUUCUUAGACCACCAUGCUGGAUUACCACCACUGCUAACAGCACUUCCACUGAGAAUUGGCAGCUGGGCCCCCUGACAAAAUAUGGAGAUACGCUGAUGGGCUUUGAGCUGAAAACACUGAAGUAUUUGCUCCAUUUAAUAAAGAAAAGCAUCUAAAUCUUUUAAGUUGAAAGUUCUACUGGGAAAUAAGCAAUAGCAAUUGCUGUGUUCCAAAUGUCAAGACUUCCAUCCUUCUAUAAAUCGUAGGCAGGGCUCAAACACAAGGGGGAAAAUUCCCAGCACAAUCCUGCACACUGCACACAGCACAGUUCUGGAAAAGGAUGGCACUGAGCAACUGCAUUAUCCAUACAGUUUUCCAGCCUUUUCACAUGCCCAAAGAGAAAAAAGCCUGCCCCAGGAAAGGAGGAGAUUUUACUUAGCAUAGUAAAAAUUAAGACACAAAUUAUGGGGAAUACUUGUACAAGAAGAAUUCAGCUUCCUACACACUUGGAAGUAUGACUGACUAGGAAACAAUAAUAGUAGCUGUUCAGAGAUUGUACCACCCCUCCUAAUAACUCUGUGUUUCUUUCAGUCUGCAUGAUUCUGUAUAAUUUUGAAGCCUAUUAGAGGUGAAGGAAGUGAGGGCACUGACUAUAAAACACAAAGGUCAAGACACAACCCCUUCCCCGGGAAGUCCCUCCACUGCAGAUUAAUAGCUGUUUUGACAGUUUAACAAUUAAAACAUUACUCUAACUGUGCUCUGAUUUUACACAUCUUCUCAGCAUUAUGGAGUGCUGCAUCCUGGACUAAAAUGGAGGGUGUUGGCAUUUUUCUCAGCCAUUCUUGAAUUUUUACCCAUAUAUAUUUUUGCUUUUAGUCAGAUUUUCUUCUUUUUUCAGCAAGUAAAAAAUUUUAAGCAGACAAGCAACAAGAAUUUCACAGCCCUUAUUUUAAAAAGCAUAUAGGAAAUCAGGCUCUAAAAUCCACAUUUAUAUAAUUAAUGACUCCUAAUCAGAGGAAGUCCUAGUAAGGUUCCCUGAUGUGCUGAAAGACAAAGAUAGACAGCACCAAGACUGCCAGGCUGACCUAUACUGAUCUCAGACAAGAGACUUUCACAUGAGGCUUCUUGCCCACAGUGUCACCACAUCCUGCUCCUCUUUGUUCCACAAUAUAGGAGACUUCAUUAGAUUUGCAACCUCAAGCUCAUUUCCAUUGCACCUCAUGGCACAACAAAACACAAGACAUUGAGCACCAUACUCAGAUUUCAUCAGGAGAGAAGGAAUUGGGCUGUGAGCUGACGGAGUUGUACAACUUAGAUAAGUGCAACAAAAGAAAUCAAGUGUCACAGCAUGCUAAAGCCACCCUGAGAAUAAAGGGGAUCCAAACCAAGCUGCACAGAUCACUGAUUGGAUCCCCACAGAUCCAAAUCAGGAUCUUAGCUGCCCCACUGGUUGGCCUUUUUAAGAGUCAAUGCUUCAAACUGUGGCAUUGGGACUCAGGGAAGAAUCUGUUCUCCAAAGUAUCAGACCUAAGUCACAAUCUGUGACUUGACUCAUGGUCAACUCACUCAGACUUCAACCAACCCAAUUAUUUCUCCUAAUUGCACCUCUACUGGAACUGUUUCCCUGUCUGAAGCCCCAGCUGAAAUAUGUCUUUUUAGGGCAUAUAAAAGAGUCUGCUUAUUCGUAUGCUUCACUCCUUUGAAUGUUUUAAUUUCCACUGAUAAUAACAUUUUAUUCCUUGUUUGUUCUCUACCUCUGAGAAAAAUCUGUGUUAGCACUAGGAUCUUACUGAUGAUGGAGUCCUGCUCUCAGCUGGACUCCUCUUUCAAACAUUUUCAGAGUAAAACACAUUGUAAGACUCAUAUCUAAGUAUUUUUUGCAAGGAUUCAAGUUUGUAAACUUGCACCCAAUGUUCUGGUUUCAAAAUAAAGCCAUAAACAUUUUUGCAUGACCAAAUAAAUAUCAAUAUUAAGACAGAAGCAGAGGAACAGUACAUAUUUAGAUAAGCCAGAAAGGUUUCAGACAGUGAACAUUUGAAUCAAUUUUAUACCUACAGCUUGAGCUAAGACUAAGAGCUCAAUCUGUAGGACAAGCCCCAAAGCAGUCUUUGAUCAUAAAAAGUUCACUGUGCUAUAUCCUUCAAGUAAGUAUAAUUCCCCUUCUUCAGAUCUCCUCAGACCUUGUGUAUAGAAGCUCGUUUUGUUUGAUCUGCUGUAUAAACACAGUUGCACAUUUGGGGUUAAAUACAUCUAGGAGGUAUUCCUGCAUCCUGCUGGCAUGGACAUUUCUAAGCCAUUCCCUACAGAGGAUUUGUUCAUUAACACAAUUCUCUCACUUAGUGUUCCAUUGCAUUGGCUUCAAUAGGAGAAAAAAAAAUCCAAAUUUUUCCAAUAGGAUGCUCCUAGAAGCUGAAUGAGGUUUAGACAGUGGUUUUUUUUCAAGCAUACUCUCCAGAAGGCAAUAUUUUAGAGAGACUGAGUGCAGUGUGAACCAAGGUAAGCCAGGCUGGAAGACUCCAUUCACAAGGACUGGUGAAAAUCAGUCCUUAAAUACUGCUUUCAGAACUUUAUAUUUAUGAACUUCAUGUCUGCAUACUCAGAGAAAAAGAUAGUGGAAUUUCAAAAAUCUGGAAAUCCCAUAAAAUUACUGAAUCCCGCAUAGCUUCUGUUCAAAAGUAUAAAGUUACUGCAAUUUUUUUGACAGUCCUGUCAAAAAUUUGUGAACAAGUCUAGUCUGAACUUAGCAAGAGACACUUCCUGUGCCUGAAGGACCUAACAGCAAUCCUUGAAGUUUGGAAAAUGUCUCAGCAUGCAGCUCCUCCACAGAGAGAAGCUGAUGAGAGUAGCAUAACCCUGCUGAACGCCAAGUCCUGUGAAAAACCCAGGAGCUCAAACACAGCACUGAUGGUUUCCAAAUUCCCUUGAAAAAUAAAGUUAGCUCUUCUGAAUUUCCCCUGCAGUGACAGGCAGCUCCAGAGCCAUAAAUGAUUGCUGAUGUGGUAAGGAAGUCACAGUGAUUUCAGGAACAUUAGGAGCAUGACUUGGGAAGGCGUUUGGGAAGCAAGCUUUAGCAUAAAGCACACUGCCUCUCCAGACUUCCAACCACAGCCCCUGUCUGCCAGCUCCCCAAAUGACAUUUAGUUAUGCACUUUUCUAGCAAUUCAUUCUCUUGCAUCUGGAAGGACACUGUCAUACUAAGUACACUCUGUUUUCACCACACCUGUGUGUCAGUGUGUGCAAGAGCACAGUUAUUCCUGAUACAGUCUCACAAGGACAGAAGACAAGAGAGCUAAACCAGUGAAGCACUUCUGUGUCUUUUCUGACUGGUCAUGUAAUGCAAGUGUACAAAUUUGACCUAGUGGUAAUUCUUGAGGAUGAUGGGAUAUGUGUGGAUAGUUUGACAAAGUGGAGGGAAAUCCUGACUCCAUUCCUCACUCUGCUGUGGGUUUCCUACAUUACCAUCUACAAGAAAAACCCUGCAGGAAGAAAAAUCAGCUGGUGCCUUGCCUUUGACAUCAGGAAAGGUAUGAUGUUAUCUUUGGUGUUAUAGAAAAUUAUUUUCUGUGGAAUAGAGAUUAUUAUAAAGUGCUCCUCUGUUUCCCAGAGGUCUCCAUAGAUAAACAUCAAGAACUGCUGCGAUUACACAGUCAGACAAGGAAAAUGUAACUGGAAUCACUUCUUAAAAUUAACAGAAUGAACACUACACAUUCACCUGCUUUUUAAUUUUUUUUUUUUAUGGCUUUGCCUACUGUAGUUCAGUAAUUUUGUUUCCAGUGCAUUUUCCCUAAGUUGUCUUCAUGUGGCACAAAAGGUGUUGCUAAAGACAAUGCCAGGCUAGAAGCAGUCAUCUGUUUUCUAGCUAAAUCCUCCUACAAAGACAGCAACUAGCAACUGGGAUGUAUAGCAGCUGAAGCCGUAAUGGGGCAUACGAUGUUUAAUUGUGCAUAUGUGAUACACACUAUUUAGCUUUCUCAUUGUUCCAUGCAGCACAAAGAAAUCCUCAGGAGGUUGAGAAGGGUCAUAUCCAUGGCUGAAUGAGAAAAUAAUCAUUUAAAAUUAUCAUUAUAGGCCUUCCUCCCGCUGACUUAGCUGGGUGAACCCUAGAAGAUUUAGAGUUCAGGUUCAGUUCAGAUAAACAUCCAAAAGUUCACAGGUUUACCCAAACUAUCUGAUCUCUGGAAAUCUCCAGAACUGCUUUUCUUGAGAGUUUUCCUGCACUUCCAGUUUUGGACAAAAAUCAGAAAUUUAAAAAAAAAAAAAAAAACCCCACAACAUGAACCAAAUAUUACAGAAUCUCAGCAAAACUCAUGUUACACUUUGAAAUUAAUCAUCCAUUCACAUAGAUCUAUCAAGUGUUUUGAUGAUUUUCUUUUAAUAUCAGCUUUUAUGGUUAAAUCAGAGCAUAUUUAUUUUUUCACCUGACUUCUCCCAGUCUAUUCUACUCAUUUUUACCAUAAGAUCUUUGUGAGUGGAACCCAGAGCAAGUGGUAAAGGGAGGCUCAGUUCUACACAUUUACAGUACAUCUACCCAGCACAUUAAGGUUUUUCAGAAAAUAUCUCUCCAUCUAAAAUAUUUAUUAAAGCAGAGACUCAGGGGUAAAGAGAAGAGACAAGGGACAAGGAGUAUAGUGAAGUAGUUUACAAAGUACUGACAUUGGUAACAGAUAUGCCUCCCAUUGGCACAUGAGCUGCUGGUUUCCCUCUUUGACACUGAUAUGGAAAAAACAUCAGCAGCCACACUAUCAGCAAGAACAUGACCCUCUGAUCGGCCGUUGUUCACUUUCCCAGAGCAGACUUCCAUCUCCCAAAUUAGCUGUGGACAGUCGUUUUCUCUGGUGUAAAAAUAUGGUUUGGAUCACUUAAGACAGAUGAUCUGUAUCAAACAAAGAACACAUUGCUUGGCAGUACUUUCCAUCAUCCUCUCCACUUGCACAGCCAGAGAGGAACAUGGGCACCCUUGCCACAUGCCCAUGUGCAGGCUGUGCAGAGCCUUCCUCCUCACUGAACACCCUCCCCAUUCACUCAGUGAUGUGUUGUAUCACUUGUACCAGGCCAGCAAGAAGAAAUGCCUUAUCCUACCUAGUGGGGAAAAAACAUCUCUCAUAAUUUGGCACUACCAUCUGAGUCAACCAAAGGCCUACAGAGUUCAGUCUGAAAAUACCUAUAAGGAAAAGGGGUAUGUAGAGUAAUUCUUUCCCUGCUGCAUCCAUCCAGCUCCCAGGAAGAUACCAGCUUAGAGAUUUCCUGAACUGAGACUUGGCACCUGCACCAUCAUGUUUGAUAGGAACUCACAAACCCAUCCUCUUAUGAUUUGCCUGAUUCCUUCCUGACCUGCUGAUGAUUUUGUCCAGGACAAGAUGCGUCAGUGAGGUCCACAACUUUAUUGCACCUCUUUUUGCUUGUUCAUAGUCCUUGUUUAGUGAGAAACAAUGAAUAUAGAAAUAGUUCCUUAUUUAAUUUCUCUAUCCUUCAUUCACUCUUAUGGCUUUUAAAAAUAACUAUCAUCUUUCCCCCACAGUCAUUCUUUUCCAGCCUAGAAAAUCCAUCAAGUCCUUUGUCAUGUAGAAGUCACUCCAUACCAUCCAUAUCUUUGGGGUUUUUUUCUGAAAAUCCUUGGGAUUUUUAAAUUAAAUGUUUUCAAAGUUUCACAUGGAAGAUCAGGUGUGAAUGUUCUGUGGCAGGAUGCUCUUGCUCUAUACUUUGAUUCCCAUUCCCCUUCUACCAAAUCCUAACAUUCUAUAUGACUCUGACAUCAUUUUGAGGUGACAUUCUCAAAGACACCUGAGGUGUUUCCCCCCAGGUGGGAGUAGCAAUUUCCUGCUAGUCAUGGCAUAUAUAUAGUUUAUGCUAGUUUCACCACUCUUCAUUUAUUAAGAUGAGAAAAUAAGCAGAGAAAAGAGAUUCAGUCAUUCAGCAUCCUAAUAGUAUCUACAGUUCUCCAGGGCUGAUUAAAGUUUAGGUUUUCCUGAAUAGCUUUGUGUCCUUAACAAAUCUUGUCCUUUUGCUGCUUGUCCCCAUUUUUACAUCAGGAAUAAUUUUAAUAACAUGGAACAGAUUUUUGUCACAAACCUUCCACUCCUGUGGUUGCCAUUCACUCUAUUGCAUCAUUGUGAUGUUCUAGAUAAUAUGGGAAGUGUUUUCUUUUUUUUCACCCAUUUACUGGAGGCUUUCCACAUCCAUCCUCAUGAAAGCAUGAAGUACCUCUUAACUGACAUGAGUUAUGAAUUAGAAGAGCAACAACUUUCUCCAUCUUACCUCUUGCUGGGAGUCCAUCAAUACUAUGAUAAAUUAGCUCUUCAAAAAAAGGACCUGUUACAGGAAGCUCGGCUUCCUAUAUAUAUUUUGUUUUUCUUGGUUGUUUAGUUUUUUGGGUUUGUUUUUGGAGGUUUUUUUUUUCAGGCAAGUUCAGCGUUUAUCUCAGGCUUGCCUCCUACCAUUGGCUCAAAUGCCUGAAAUUAUCCAACAUCCCAGAAAUGUUCUCAGAUUUUUGGUCCUGUCUCUCCCCUCCUGCACAAUAAACCUUGGGGCUGCUAAAAUUUCACACUCUCCUGAAAAAACCUCCCAGUCAAUCAGGCAGCUGAAGCUCCCGUUUGCUGCACCACUCCAGAGAAUUGUGUCUCACGGGGUGUGUGCAGCCACUGAUGAAAGGCAGCAGGUUUGAGCAUGAAAUCCGCUGUGGCUGUGGCAGCAGGCAGGAGUGGCUGUCCCGGUGUGCUGGUGCUGGGGAGGAGGAGGGGCACGCCACACAUGAAUAGCCAGGCACACACGGGACAUCUUCUCACCAGAUGGUGCAUCAGACCUGCUGGAGCUCAACUCUUAAUUAAACUAAGAACUAAGGGCCCCACUCAGUCACAGCAUCAGUUUCCUCCCAAACAGAUGUCGGCAAGACACCACAAAAAUUGCAUUCAGUGCAAGCCCAAACCCAGGCUGAGGGUGGCCACUGCCCAAGCCUCACGUACCAUCUCUGUCAGGAUAAAAAGUUUUCUACAGCAGUGAACUGACAGCCCCUUUGUUCUGGGUCAUCAUGCCCUGAAAGCCCCUCUCUCUCCUCCAUGGCAAACCUGAAACCAGCACUCCUGCAGCACAGCACUGUUACUAACCAGGUACAGAAAACAGCCUGAACCAGAGCAGGAAAUUGUCUGUAGAGUUUAUUCAAAGCUUCCCAAAGCCCCCAGCUACCUUAACUUUUCCUAGCAGAUCAUCACACUGACCAAGAUAACCUAAGUGCUGAAAUCCCAGAGGUGCACUGAGCUAAGAGCAAGCUGGCAGCAGGUGUCACAAUGGAUAACCUUACUAGGCAUUUGGAAAAAAAGGAUAAAUCUGCAAAGCCUUCAAAAGCCUCUAGAUAGUGUUUUCAGUAGGUGAAUGAAGAGAAAUUAAAAGAGACCCAGGCCAAGCUGUAUGGCAGCCUUAUAUCUUUGCCUCUGGAUUGCCUUCAAUGCAAUACAAUGAUUUUAGGGAAGUGAGGUCCAUAAGGCCCCAAAGAAGCAAUAAUGAUUUAGUUUAUUUGGGUAAAACCUGAAGCCAGCAGCCUAUCUGUAGUUUUAUUUGUCAAGCAAUGGUAACAGAGUAGUACAGAUUUUUAUAUCCUGGGCAUUGAUUCAGUGUCAAAUAUUUAAUGAAAAAAAAGCAAUAAAAAUAAAAAGUAGUUGAUCCAAGGACUGGCAGUGACUGUAUCCAAGGAUCCAAUCCCUCUCUUACCUCCAGUCCCCUCCUCUCACUUCACCCCAACUUUUCCCUCCCCCUCUGCCUUUCUCACUUGGAAGAUGUUAUUGUUUAACAUGGCACAUUCCCAAGCUGCUAGACCAGGACAGUAAAAUUAUUCACUGACUUUACUGUACUCUUCCACCAGGCACUAAUUUUUUAAGCUUUCAGCUCUCCUUUCCUCCACCCCCACCUCCUCCAUUCCCCAAUGAAAUUUGCCUUUUCCCUUCUCUCCCUCCCUUUUUGCUAGGCAGAAUCUGGAAAAAAGAAAUCAAGGCCAAACUCAACAAAACUACUGCUGCGUAAGAGCAGUCCUUUUUCACACACAGAUGGUCAGUCAGAAGAAUGAGCGCUUUAUAAGACAAACAUCGUGCUGGUCUUUGCGAUCCUGUUCCCCUGGACCUCAGCAGGAGUUUUUCAUCACCAAAGUGGAUAAUAACUCUGUCAGACACCUCAUACACACAGGUAUUAAUAAAAAAAAAAAAAA
ensembl:lncRNA